AUUGGACGCUGGCGGAAUGCUUUACACAUGCAAGUCGAGCGGCAGCACGGGGGCAACCCUGGUGGCGAGCGGCGAACGGGUGAGUAAUACAUCGGAACAUGCCCAGUCGUGGGGGAUAACACUUCGAAAGAAGUGCUAAUACCGCAUACGUCCUGAGGGAGAAAGCGGGGGAUCUUCGGACCUCGCGCGAUUGGAGUGGCCGAUGUCAGAUUAGCUAGUUGGUGGGGUAAAGGCCUACCAAGGCAACGAUCUGUAGCUGGUCUGAGAGGAUGAUCAGCCACACUGGGACUGAGACACGGCCCAGGCUCCUACGGGAGGCAGCAGUGGGGAAUUUUGGACAAUGGGGGCAACCCUGAUCCAGCCAUUCCGCGUGAGUGAAGAAGGCCUUCGGGUUGUAAAGCUCUUUCGGCAGGAACGAAACGGCGAGCUCUAACAUAGCUUGCUAAUGACGGUACCUGAAGAAGAAGCACCGGCUAACUACGUGCCAGCCGCCGCAGUAACAC
rnacentral:rRNA from 1 species